rnacentral:rRNA from 1 species
UACGUAGGGUGCAAGCGUUGUCCGGAAUUAUUGGGCGUAAAGAGCUCGUAGGCGGUCUGUCACGUCGGCUGUGAAAACCCGAGGCUCAACCUCGGGCCUGCAGUCGAUACGGGCAAACUAGAGUACUGCAGGGGAGACUGGAAUUCCUGGUGUAGCGGUGGAAUGCGCGGAUAUCAGGAGGAACACCUAUAGCGAAGGCAGCUUGCUGGGACGUUACUGACGCUAAGGCGCGAAAGCGUGGGGAGCGAACAGG